UGUCCCGGGACCCACCCAGGCGGAGGCAAGGGCAGGGGCGCUGGGGGCCCAGAGAGAGGGCGCCGCGAUGGAUGGAUGAGCUGUUUCCAGCAUUCCUGUGCGUCUGCUGGUUGUAGCUGCAGUCAAGAUUUGGGGCGGUCUCGUUUGUUGUGGGUGGGUGAUCUGGAAUCACGAUUUUCUCACUCUGUGCCCGGAAAUCAUGCCAUCUCUCGCCCAACGCUGUAUUUUAUAGGCUUCAACUCAAAAUUUUCCUUCAUGGCACAGUGGAAAGCUUUGAAGACCGCGGUUCUGGGGCUGAAUAUGAAGGCAACUCGGACUAAGAAGACGACUGCUUUCCAACUGCCCUCCCGCCCUGCAGCCGGCUGAUUUGAGGAAGGGGCUGGGAUCCUUCCCCUUGCCCUCUGGUUGUUCUUGGAGUUACAGCAGCCCCGCGGCAGCUCUGCCCCCUAGUGCACAUGUGAGGCAGCGCGCCCUUCUCCAAUCCAGAAGCCUCGUCGCGGUGCUGCCAGCAAGGGAGUUUUUCUGUAUUCACUUUGGUGGAAAUAGCAAAACUUGACAGAAAAAAAACCCAAGCAAAAC